UUGAGUUGCCAUGGGAACAUGCCUAACAGGUCCCUGAGGCUACACUGGCCUGGACUGGCCUAAACCCAGCCCAAUCCUAUCAUUCAAGUCAACAGAUUUCCCCUAAAAUCUGGGAAUGCGUCACAGCUCUAGAUAAUGGAAAAGACGUCAAUGGGAGAAGGAUCCUGAGAACUCCCGGAUCAUCAUACACUGUCUUGUGAUCAGUAGGCUGAGGUCAUCCCUACAUUCCUUCCCAUGUCCACCUCUCACCAAGUGCCCAAAAGUGUAUCUCAUUCUUGGGAUAACCCUCAUUCUCUCUAGAAUGUGUAUUCCUUGUUUUCCUAAAUAAAUCUCUGUGCCUCAA